AAAGUACUCCCUCCGUCCCAAAAUUCUUGUCUUAGAUUUGUCUAGAUACGGAUGUAUCAAGUCACAUUUUAGUAUUAGAUACAUCCGUAUCUAGUCAAAUCUAAGACAAGAAAUUUGGGACAGAGGGAGUAGUUG
rnacentral:pre_miRNA from 1 species